rnacentral:tRNA from 1 species
CGACUUAGCUCAGUUGGUAGAGCAAAGCACUCGUAACGCUUAGGUCGUAGGUUCGAUCCCUAUAGUCGGC